rfam:Zootermopsis nevadensis contig7357, whole genome shotgun sequence.
GGUAGCGUGGCCGAGUGGUCUAAGGCGCUGGUUUUAGGCACCAGUCCGAAAGGACGUGGGUUCGAAUCCCACCGCUGCCA